ACGGGUGAGUAACGCGUAUGCAACCUACCCUGUACAGGGGGAUAACCCGGAGAAAUUCGGACUAAUAUCCCAUAAUAUUAUUUGGAGGCAUCUUUGGAUAAUUAAAGCUCCGGCGGUACGGGAUGGGCAUGCGUAACAUUAGCUGGUUGGUAAGGUAACGGCUUACCAAGGCUUUGAUGUUUAGGGGUCCUGAGAGGGUGGUCCCCCACACUGGUACUGAGACACGGACCAGACUCCUACGGGAGGCAGCAGUGAGGAAUAUUGGUCAAUGGGCGCAAGCCUGAACCAGCCAUCCCGCGUGCAGGAAGACGGCCCUAUGGGUUGUAAACUGCUUUUCCGAAAGGCGAAACUCAGCGACGAGUCGUUGAUUGACGGUAUUUUGGGAAUAAGCAUCGGCUAACUCCGUGCCAGCAGCCGCGGUAAUACGGAGGAUGCGAGCGUUAUCCGGAUUUAUUGGGUUUAAAGGGUGCGUAGGCGGAUUAAUAAGUCAGUGGUGAAAACCUUCAGCUUAACUGGAGACUUGCCAUUGAUACUGUUAGUCUUGAGUACGGUCAAGGUAGGCGGAAUGUGUAAUGUAGCGGUGAAAUGCUUAGAUAUUACACAGAACACCGAUUGCGAAGGCAGCUUACUGGGCCAUUACUGACGCUGAUGCACGAAAGCGUGGGGAGCGAACAGGAUUAGAUACCCUGGUAGUCCACGCCGUAAACGAUGAUCACUCGCUGUUAGC
rnacentral:rRNA from 1 species